UUGCAUCUGGAGCCAGCGAGGAUGAGAACCUCCGGGGGCGGGAGGUUCGACCCGAGCGAAGCGAGAGAACGUUGCGCGAGCAACGGCCCGCAGGGCGAGCCACGUAGUGAUGAGUCAUCCUCUAUCACCGACCA
rnacentral:sRNA from 2 species